rnacentral:rRNA from 1 species
GACGAACGCUGGCGGCGUGCCUAAUACAUGCAAGUCGAACGCAGUGGGGACGGGUGAGUAACACGUGGGUAACCUCCCAUCAGAGGGGAUAACACUUGGAAACAGGUGCUAAACCGAUAUUGACGGAUGGACCCGCGGUGCAUUAGCUAGUUGGUGAGGUAACGGCUAACCAAGGCCACGAUGCAUAGCCGGCCUGAGAGGGUGAUCGGCCACACUGGGACGGAGACACGGCCCGGACUCCUACGGGAGGCAGCAGAAGGGAAUCUUCGGUAAUGGACGAAAGUCUGACCGAGCAACGCCGCGUGAGUGAAGAAGGUUUUCGGAGCGUAAAGCUCUGUUGUUGGAGAAGCGGUAUCUAACCAGAAAGCCACGGCUAACUACGUGCCAGCAGCCGCGGUAAUAC